CUUGAGAUUUACAGGAGCGGCGCCAAACAAAACACAAUUCAGAAAUUGUUUUUUUUUUUUUACUUGGAAAUAGAAUGAAAUAAACCCUAACUGUUUUCUCACCAGUGUAGCUUAGGUUGUGCGCUCUGCAAACAACAUGUCCACUCCUACAAUGACAACUGUAAGACUGGAAUAAUAAUAUAUUGAAUGCAUUAACAGACAUGGCCAUAACCAAACAAACAUUGUAGAUUAGAAAUGAUGGGAAUUAACAGUAAAUGUACUACUGGGUGAUACUGGUGUGCCCCCCUGCAGCCUCCGCAAUGGGUUAGUCCCCUCAGACAGGCGUGAAUUAGACAGGUGUCUUAGACUGAUGGACUGUGCCAUCCCCCACGGCCUCCGCAAUGGGUUAGUCCCCUCAGACAGGCGUGAAUCAGACAGGUGUCUUAGACUGAUGGACUGUGCCAUCCCCCACGGCCUCCGCAAUGGGUUAGUCCCCUCAGACAGGCGUGAAUUAGACGGGUGUCUUAGACUGAUGGACUGUGCCGUCCCCCACGGCCUCCGCAAUGGGUUAGUCCCCUCAGACAGGCGUGAAUCAGACAGGUGUCUUAGACUGAUGGACUGUGCCAUCCCCCACGGCCUCCGCAAUGGGUUAGUCCCCUCAGACAGGCGUGAAUCAGACAGGUGUCUUAGACUGAUGGACUGUGCCGUCCCCCACGGCCUCCGCAAUGGGUUAGUCCCCUCAGACAGGCGUGAAUCAGACGGGUGUCUUAGACUGAUGGACUGUGCCAUCCCCCACGGCCUCCGCAAUGGGUUAGUCCCCUCAG